rnacentral:piRNA from 1 species
UGCAGAAUGAUAAACUAUCCUCUCUCAGGAC